GACGAACGCUGGCGGCGUGCUUAACACAUGCAAGUCGAACGGAAAGGCCCUGCUUUUGUGGGGUGCUCGAGUGGCGAACGGGUGAGUAACACGUGAGUAACCUGCCCUUGACUUUGGGAUAACUUCAGGAAACUGGGGCUAAUACCGGAUAGGAGCUCCUGCUGCAUGGUGGGGGUUGGAAAGUUUCGGCGGUUGGGGAUGGACUCGCGGCUUAUCAGCUUGUUGGUGGGGUAGUGGCUUACCAAGGCUUUGACGGGUAGCCGGCCUGAGAGGGUGACCGGACACAUUGGGACGGGGAUGCGGCCCAGACUCCUACGGGAGGGAGCAGUGGGGAAUGGUGCACUAUGGGCGGAAGCCUGAUGCAGCAACGCCGCGUGCGGGAUGACGGCCUUCGGUUUGUAUACCGCUUUCGCCUGUGACGAAGCGUGAGUGACGGUAAUGGGUAAAGAAGCACCGGCUAACUACGUG
rnacentral:rRNA from 1 species